GCGACAGUCGUAUAGCGGUUAUUACCCGAGCUUCCCAAGCUCGUGAUGAGGGUUCGACUCCCUUCUGUCGCU
rfam:Spirochaeta coccoides DSM 17374, complete genome.